rnacentral:rRNA from 1 species
UACGGAGGGUGCAAGCGUUGUCCGGAAUCACUGGGCGUAAAGAGCGUGUAGGUGGCUCGGUAAGUCCGCUGUAAAAGUCCAGGGCUCAACCCUGGAAAGCCGGUGGAAACUGUCGAGCUAGAGUCCGGAAGAGGCGAGUGGAAUUCCUGGUGUAGCGGUGAAAUGCGCAGAUAUCAGGAGGAACACCAAUGGCGAAGGCAGCUCGCUGGGACGGUACUGACACUGAGACGCGAAAGCGUGGGGAGCAAACAGG